rnacentral:rRNA from 1 species
AAUGUCUGGGAAACUGCCUGAUGGAGGGGGAUAACUACUGGAAACGGUAGCUAAUACCGCAUAAUGUCGCAAGACCAAAGAGGGGGACCUUCGGGCCUCUUGCCAUCAGAUGUGCCCAGAUGGGAUUAGCUAGUAGGUGGGGUAACGGCUCACCUAGGCGACGAUCCCUAGCUGGUCUGAGAGGAUGACCAGCCACACUGGAACUGAGACACGGUCCAGACUCCUACGGGAGGCAGCAGUGGGGAAUAUUGCACAAUGGGCGCAAGCCUGAUGCAGCCAUGCCGCGUGUAUGAAGAAGGCCUUCGGGUUGUAAAGUACUUUCAGCGGGGAGGAAGGUGUUGUGGUUAAUAACCACAGCAAUUGACGUUACCCGCAGAAGAAGCACCGGCUAACUCCGUGCCAGCAGCCGCGGUAAUACGGAGGGUGCAAGCGUUAAUCGGAAUUACUGGGCGUAAAGCGCACGCAGGCGGUCUGUCAAGUCGGAUGUGAAAUCCCCGGGCUCAACCUGGGAACUGCAUUCGAAACUGGCAGGCUGGAGUCUUGUAGAGGGGGGUAGAAUUCCAGGUGUAGCGGUGAAAUGCGUAGAGAUCUGGAGGAAUACCGGUGGCGAAGGCGGCCCCCUGGACAAAGACUGACGCUCAGG